rnacentral:rRNA from 1 species
AAAUUGAAGAGUUUGAUCAUGGCUCAGAUUGAACGCUGGCGGCAGGCCUAACACAUGCAAGUCGAACGGUAACAGGAAGCAGCUUGCUGCUUUGCUGACGAGUGGCGGACGGGUGAGUAAUGUCUGGGAAACUGCCUGAUGGAGGGGGAUAACUACUGGAAACGGUGGCUAAUACCGCAUAACGUCGCAAGACCAAAGAGGGGGACCUUCGGGCCUCUUGCCAUCAGAUGUGCCCAGAUGGGAUUAGCUAGUUGGUGAGGUAACGGCUCACCAAGGCGACGAUCCCUAGCUGGUCUGAGAGGAUGACCAGCCACACUGGAACUGAGACACGGUCCAGACUCCUACGGGAGGCAGCAGUGGGGAAUAUUGCACAAUGGGCGCAAGCCUGAUGCAGCCAUGCCGCGUGUAUGAAGAAGGCCUUCGGGUUGUAAAGUACUUUCAGCGGGGAGGAAGGUGUUGCGGUUAAUAACCGCAGCAAUUGACGUUACCCGCAGAAGAAGCACCGGCUAACUCCGUGCCAGCAGCCGCGGUAAUACGGAGGGUGCAAGCGUUAAUCGGAAUUACUGGGCGUAAAGCGCACGCAGGCGGUCUGUCAAGUCGGAUGUGAAAUCCCCGGGCUCAACCUGGGAACUGCAUUCGAAACUGGCAGGCUUGAGUCUUGUAGAGGGGGGUAGAAUUCCAGGUGUAGCGGUGAAAUGCGUAGAGAUCUGGAGGAAUACCGGUGGCGAAGGCGGCCCCCUGGACAAAGACUGACGCUCAGGUGCGAAAGCGUGGGGAGCAAACAGGAUUAGAUACCCUGGUAGUCCACGCCGUAAACGAUGUCUACUUGGAGGUUGUGCCCUUGAGGCGUGGCUUCCGGAGCUAACGCGUUAAGUAGACCGCCUGGGGAGUACGGCCGCAAGGUUAAAACUCAAAUGAAUUGACGGGGGCCCGCACAAGCGGUGGAGCAUGUGGUUUAAUUCGAUGCAACGCGAAGAACCUUACCUGGUCUUGACAUCCACGGAAGUUUUCAGAGAUGAGAAUGUGCCUUCGGGAACCGUGAGACAGGUGCUGCAUGGCUGUCGUCAGCUCGUGUUGUGAAAUGUUGGGUUAAGUCCCGCAACGAGCGCAACCCUUAUCCUUUGUUGCCAGCGGUUAGGCCGGGAACUCAAAGGAGACUGCCAGUGAUAAACUGGAGGAAGGUGGGGAUGACGUCAAGUCAUCAUGGCCCUUACGACCAGGGCUACACACGUGCUACAAUGGCGCAUACAAAGAGAAGCGACCUCGCGAGAGCAAGCGGACCUCAUAAAGUGCGUCGUAGUCCGGAUUGGAGUCUGCAACUCGACUCCAUGAAGUCGGAAUCGCUAGUAAUCGUGGAUCAGAAUGCCACGGUGAAUACGUUCCCGGGCCUUGUACACACCGCCCGUCACACCAUGGGAGUGGGUUGCAAAAGAAGUAGGUAGCUUAACCUUCGGGAGGGCGCUUACCACUUUGUGAUUCAUGACUGGGGUGAAGUCGUAACAAGGUAACCGUAGGGGAACCUGCGGUUGGAUCACCUCCUUACCUGAAAGAAGC